GAGAGGUGUUGUUGUGUAUUGGGAGACAUAGAGAGGUGUUUUGGUGUGUUCGGAGAGGUGUUUUGUGUGUUGGGAGACAGGGAGAGGUUUUGUUGUGUGUUGGGAGACAGAGAGAGGUGUUUUGGUGUGUUGGGAGACAGAGAGAGGUGUUGUGGUGUGUUGGGAUACAGAGAGAGGUGUUGUGAUGUGUUUGGUGACAAAGAAGAAUUGUGAUGUGUUGGGAUACAGAGAGAGGUGUUGAGGUGUUUUGGGGGACAUAGAGAGGUAUUGUGGCAUAUUUGGACACAGAGGGAGUUGUUGGGAGACAGAGAGGUGUUGGGAGACAGAGAGAGAUGUUGUGUUGUGUUGGGAGAAAGAGAGAGGUGUUGUGGUGUGUUGGGAGAAAGAGAGAGGUGUUGUGGUGUGUUGGGAGACGGAUAGAGGUGUUGUGGUGUGUUGGGAGAAAGAGAGAGGUGUUGUGGUGUGUUG
rnacentral:lncRNA from 1 species